AUUGAACGCUGGCGACAUGCCUUACACAUGCAAGUCGAACGGUAACAGGUCUUCGGAUGCUGACGAGUGGCGAACGGGUGAGUAAUACAUCGGAACGUGCCCGAUCGUGGGGGAUAACGAGGCGAAAGCUUUGCUAAUACCGCAUACGAUCUACGGAUGAAAGCGGGGGAUCUUCGGACCUCGCGCGGACGGAGCGGCCGAUGGCAGAUUAGGUAGUUGGUGGGAUAAAAGCUUACCAAGCCGACGAUCUGUAGCUGGUCUGAGAGGAUGAUCAGCCACACUGGGACUGAGACACGGCCCAGACUCCUACGGGAGGCAGCAGUGGGGCAUUUUGGACAAUGGGCGAAAGCCUGAUCCAGCCAUGCCGCGUGCAGGAUGAAGGCCUUCGGGUCGUAAACUGCUUUUGUACGGAACGAAAAGCCUCUUUCUAAUAAAGAGGGGUCAUGACGGUACCGUAAGAAUAAGCACCGGCUAACUACGUGCCAGCCGCCGCCGUAA
rnacentral:rRNA from 1 species